rnacentral:misc_RNA from 1 species
GAUGAAGAACGUAGCGAAAUGCGAUAAGUAAUGUGAAUUGCAGAAUUCAGUGAAUCAUCGAAUCUUUGAAUGCACAUUGCGCCCGCCAGUAUUCUGGCGGGCAUGCCUGUUCGAGCGUCAUUACAACCCUCAGGCCCCCGGGCCUGGCGUUGGGGAUCGGCGGAGCCCCCCGUGGGCACACGCCGUCCCCCAAAUACAGUGGCGGUCCCGCCGCAGCUUCCAUCGCGUAGUAGCUAACACCUCGCGACUGGAGAGCGGCGCGGCCACGCCGUAAAACACCCAACUCUUCUGAAGUUGACCUCGAAUCAGGUAGGAAUACCCGCUGAACUUAAGCAUAUCAAUAAGCGGAGGA